CGAGAUUAUGUGCCCUAUGUUGAGCCAAGUUCAAACUACACAACUUCUGGAGGGUCUCAAGGUUACCUUCUUGUUCAUACAAAUGGUGGAUUAAAUCAGAUGCGAGCUGGGAUAUGUGACAUGGUUGCUGUUGCCCGAAUUAUAAAUGCUACUCUUGUAAUUCCAGAACUUGAUAAGCAGUCAUUUUGGCAGGACA